UACGUAGGGUGCGAGCGUUAAUCGGAAUUACUGGGCGUAAAGCGUGCGCAGGCGGUUGUGCAAGACAGAGGUGAAAUCCCCGGGCUUAACCUGGGAACUGCCUUUGUGACUGCACGGCUAGAGUGUGUCAGAGGGGGGGUAGAAUUCCACGUGUAGCAGUGAAAUGCGUAGAGAUGUGGAGGAAUACCGAUGGCGAAGGCAGCCCCCUGGGAUAACACUGACGCUCAUGCACGAAAGCGUGGGGAGCAAACAGG
rnacentral:rRNA from 1 species